rnacentral:rRNA from 1 species
AGUGAACGCUGGCGGUAGGCCUAACACAUGCAAGUCGAACGGCAGCACAGUAAGAGCUUGCUCUUACGGGUGGCGAGUGGCGGACGGGUGAGGAAUACAUCGGAAUCUACUUUUUCGUGGGGGAUAACGUAGGGAAACUUACGCUAAUACCGCAUACGACCUACGGGUGAAAGCAGGGGAUCUUCGGACCUUGCGCGAUUGAAUGAGCCGAUGUCGGAUUAGCUAGUUGGCGGGGUAAAGGCCCACCAAGGCGACGAUCCGUAGCUGGUCUGAGAGGAUGAUCAGACACACGGGAAGUGAGAAACGGCCCAGACUCCUACGGGAGGCAGCAGUGGGGAAUAUUGGACAAUGGGGGCAAGCCUGAUCCAGCAAUACCGCGUGAGUGAAGAAGGCGUUCGGGUUGUAAAGCCAUUUUGUUGGGAGAGAAAAGCAGCAGGUUAAUACCCCGCUGUUCUGACGGUACCCAAAGAAUAAGCACCGGCUAACUUCGUG